rnacentral:rRNA from 1 species
CAUGUCUUUUUGAUUAUAAUUUUAAGUUUGAUCUGCUCAAUGAGGAUUUAAAUUGCCGCAGUAUUUUGACUGUGCAAAGGUAGCAUAAUAAUUAGUUUCUUAAUUAGAAGCUUGAAUGAAGGAUUUGACAAGAAAUUAGCUGUCUCUUUUUAAUUUUUAUAAAAUUUUAUUUUUAAGUAAAAAAGCUUAAAUUUUUUUAAAAGACGAGAAGACCCUAUAGAGUUUAAUAUUAUAUUUAUUUAUUUAUUUUUGAAAAUAAUAAUUAUUUAAAUAUUUAGUUGGGGUGAUUUGAAGAUAAAAUUAAUUCUUUGAAAUAUUUUAUUGAAGAUUAUUAAUUUAGUAGUCUUAUUUUUUAAAGAUUAAAAUAAAUUACCUUAGGGAUAACAGCGUUAUUUUUUUUUAAAGUUCUUAUUAAAAAAAAAGUUUGCGACCUCGAUGUUGGAUUAAAAUUAAUUUUUGGUGAAGUAGCUUAAGGAUUAGGUCUGUUCGACCUUUAAAAUU